CCUACGGGAGGCAGCAGUGAGGAAUAUUGGGCAAUGGAGGCAACUCUGACCCAGCCAUGCCGCGUGAGUGAAGAGGGUUUUCGGAUUGUAAAGCUCUUUCGGAUGUGACGAUGAUGACGGUAGCAUCUAAAGAAGCCCCGGCUAACUUCGUGCCAGCAGCCGCGGUAAUACGUAGGGGGCAAGCGUUAUCCGGAUUUACUGGGUGUAAAGGGAGCGUAGGCGGUUUAGCAAGUCAGAAGUGAAAGCCCGGGGCUCAACUCCGGGACUGCUUUUGAAACUGUUGAACUAGAUUGCAGGAGAGGUAAGUGGAAUUCCUAGUGUAGCGGUGAAAUGCGUAGAUAUUAGGAGGAACACCAGUGGCGAAGGCGGCUUACUGGACUGUAAAUGACGCUGAGGCUCGAAAGCGUGGGGAGCAAACAGGAUUAGAUACCCUGGUAGUC
rnacentral:rRNA from 1 species